AUUGAACGCUGGCGGCAGGCCUAACACAUGCAAGUCGAACGGUAACAGGAAGAAGCUUGCUUCUUUGCUGACGAGUGGCGGACGGGUGAGUAAUGUCUGGGAAACUGCCUGAUGGAGGGGGAUAACUACUGGAAACGGUAGCUAAUACCGCAUAACGUCGCAAGACCAAAGAGGGGGACCUUCGGGCCUCUUGCCAUCGGAUGUGCCCAGAUGGGAUUAGCUAGUAGGUGGGGUAACGGCUCACCUAGGCGACGAUCCCUAGCUGGUCUGAGAGGAUGACCAGCCACACUGGAACUGAGACACGGUCCAGACUCCUACGGGAGGCAGCAGUGAGGAAUAUUGCACAAUGGGCGCAAGCCUGAUGCAGCCAUGCCGCGUGUAUGAAGAAGGCCUUCGGGUUGUAAAGUACUUUCAGCGGGGAGGAAGGGAGUAAAGUUAAUACCUUUGCUCAUUGACGUUACCCGCAGAAGAAGCACCGGCUAACUCCGUG
rnacentral:rRNA from 1 species